rnacentral:lncRNA from 1 species
CCGGGAGCAUUGAUUUUGAGAUUGCAAACUAGUUUUAGUGGGUAAUGCAAGGCACUUGUAUUGGUUCGAACCCCGAGCGCACGCCAACAGACAACACAAGGCGGUGUGGAGCAACACGCUGUUUUAAUAAGCGCCCGAGCGCCGGCGGGCUGAGGCCUAAAAUGGCGUCAGCCCGAAACGGGGACGGGGCAGGGGUUUUAUAGUCUCCUGUUAACAGGACGUGUCUGACGUAACUGCUACGCUUACCCAGACGGCCUCUCUCUUGGUCUUCGGCGGGUACGUGUCUUCCGGCCAGCUCUCUUCCGCUUCUGCUGUCUUGAUGACGCACAGUGCUGGCGCAAGUCGUCUUGCGCCAGGCGACUGGGUCUGAGGAGGCAGGAGUUAUUCAUUCCCUUAAGCUUUCAGGCCGGGGGGAGAAUCUUUCAGGUGGUAGCUGCAAGAACUCUUAGUAUGUUGACCUCACCUCUGCCUUCCACAUACCACUACCAGUGAGGAAUUAGGAAUGCAUGAGAAGAGUGUCCAAGAAGAGUGUCCUCAUUCAUGCAAGGCUUAAGAGAGAAUGCAGGUCAACAUCACCAUGUCAAUCAGAGGAAAGAGAUCUUCAUGUAAACAGAGUCCCUCUUAUUGGCUGAAGUGAAGAGUCAUUCUGAGGCAUCUCAAGAUGAAGGUUUCCUAUUUGUGAUUAUGAAAAAAAUGUCAAGAACAAGUCCCUUGGUGUUCUUAGACCAAAGUCAGAACAACAGACCUAGCAGACUAUCUUUCCAGCAGCUCACAUGAUCCCCGAUUCAAGUCAAAUGGAAAAGAAAGCAUCUCCCUCCAGGAAACUCCAG